UACGUAGGGGGCAAGCGUUGUCCGGAUUUAUUGGGCGUAAAGAGCGUGUAGGCGGCCAUGCAGGUCCGUUGUGAAAACUCGAGGCUCAACCUCGAGACGCCGGUGGAAACCGUGUGGCUAGAGUCCGGAAGAGGAGAGUGGAAUUCCUGGUGUAGCGGUGAAAUGCGCAGAUAUCAGGAAGAACACCCGUGGCGAAGGCGGCCCUCUGGGACGUGACUGACGCUGAGACGCGAAAGCGUGGGGAGCAAACAGG
rnacentral:rRNA from 1 species